AAAAGCUAUAAGAAAAGAGAAGGAAGUCAGAAAGCAGAACACUGGAUGCAGUAGUUUUGGCAGCUCUUUGGAAAGGACUGAAAAGGCUGCUGGUGGAUGCCUCAAUAUGGGUCAAGUCAGAAUGUCAAAAGGUCAAGUUCAGCCACUGAGAUGCAAAGGAGGAACUCCACAGUAUCCUUUUCAAAGUGUCUCUUUGCAAACCAGAGCGAGACUUUAUCAUAAAUUGUAACUUACAGCUGGAAAAUAAUCUUUUCAUGUAUUUGAAUGAUAUUGCAAUAGUUUCAUACCAGAAGAGCUCCAACGGGCAUUACUGGAUUUUAGAUGGGAUUUAUUUGUAAAUGGUAAAAGCAGUAGCUGCAGGAAGACCUUAGCCUAGCAAGAACUUCUUGCAUACAUUUGCAAGACAAAAAUAGUGGUCAGUAGAUAUUUUCUUGCCUUCUGAGGGAUCAUAAACAUCAUGACUACACUUGAAAUACAACAAAUGUAGCAAAACGGGAACUAUAAAAACUGCGCUUAGCACCGAUAGCUAAUAUGAGAAGCCAUUCUCCAAAGUGGCUCAAAAUACUUUAAGAGAAUGCAAAGAGGUUUCAGUUAUCAGGGGAAAAAUGCUCAGUGAUUUCCAAAACCCCACCUCCCUCCUUGAGAAAGCGUUCACUCUAGAAUGUUUUAGACAGAGUGUGCAAAAGUGAAAAGCUCCCAAAACAUUUAUUGAAAAUUAUACCAGUGUUUGCAUUGCCCUUCCCAUUUAUACUUCCAUCAAGACAAGAAAACAUCACCAACGCUCAUGGAUCCUUUUUCAUCUCUAGCAUAAAAAUAGGCACUCACCUAUGUGAGGAAACCCUCAAAAGGCAAGGGAAGUCGGUGGAUGACCUGAAAACACACAAACUGCACUCACAGUUUGCAUAUGCGUGAAUAUUUUGGCAGCCCAUUUCAGCUGUGUUGGCCUAGUUUAGCUCUCUGCUUGGCAAACAGACCAAGCCAAGCUUCCUAAGGUGUCUUCCAAUGCUUAACAAAGCACUGACAGGAGAGGCUAAUGUGGAGGACAGUCUGGAGAGAGGUGAAGAGCUAUUUCCCCUGCUAUUAAGACAGGGGUAUCAGGAGGAACAUCAGGUAGAAGGGAGAGGUUGGGAAGAGGGGAAGGUAAGGUCUCUGGAGGACCUUUUAACCGAGUUCAUACACAGCGUCGAAGUCCACAGAGCUCCUCGCUGCUGCUCUAGCACAAAGCCAUCUCAAGACAUACUGCUCCUGUAGUACUCUAUUUGCCAUUUAAAUUCUGACAAGUUCGUUGGGAUGGUCUAUAACGACUUCUGUCCUAUUUCGUGGGUGGCCCGCAAGCCGGGGUUAAGAGAAGUGCAUUAAGGAGGACUCGGUUGGUCUAAGGGUGAGCUGACUGACAGAUGAUGAAGGCUACUUCCUCCCCAAGGCGACAACAGCAUUUCUGCCACUCACACAGCUAUCUCAAGGAAGCACCAGGAAAGGAAAUGCCUUUGCAAGCUCGUCUUUCCACAUCAACCCUAAAGAGUUUGCUACUGCAUAUGCUGAGUUAGAGACACUGGGCAACUUCCUACUGGUAGCUAGAAAGCUGCUGCCCAUUAAGGGAUAUGAGACGCUGCUCACUACAAUUCCAGGACAAUGAAAACCCGCAAGAGGUGUUUUAACUUAGUAAAGGAGUUCCCUACGUUUUGGUUUUUUUCCUGUUUAAUGUACAACAGCUGAUUUUGAAGAUUAUUUCUACAGCCACUGGAAAAUCCUCCACAUGUCAGGACUAUUUCUGAGUGCUUCUGUGUUCGGGACCAGUCUAAGAUAUCCAGGCUGAAUUUCACCGAUUCUGCGCACUUUCAAUUUUAUCCAGAGUCAAAGUGAGCCAAAAGGCGGUCGGGCUCUCUAGGAAGCCUAAGACUCAAGAUGAGCAAUUCAAAAUUAGGUGACACUGUCAAAUCAUCAGCUUCAGUCCUUCCCUCAUAUCCAUCUCAACCGAGAGAAGAAAGAUGUAAAUGAGAUCAGAUCCCAUGGCAAGAAAAAGAAUAAAGCACCUCUGUGUUACUUUCUCCUUUGUAUUCACUAAACUUUAAAGGCAAGGAACAGAGACAAACGUUUGAAUGACCUUGCUACGGAAGUUCCCGAGUUGCUGCUGUUUAUCCCAGGGUCAACUCUGAAAACAAAUAAAAACUUGUAAAAAAAUAGUUAUCAGUUAUGGGAAUUCUAAAGCUGUUUUUGUGGGUACCUCCAAUACAAAGUUGAAUUGUAAAAACCUGCGUAUUCUUCACUGCUGCAUUAACUUUUGAGAAGUGAUUGUAUCAAAUUCUAUCAAAAGCAAAUUAAUAUUCUUGCUGCUUCAAAACCACGUGAAGAAUUCCCAGAUUAUACUGCAAGAAAGAAAACAUUUUCUUUACUUAGCAGGACACACCGCUUGUCUUUCACAACCACUUUUCCUCCUCCUUUUG